rnacentral:rRNA from 1 species
GAUGAACGCUGGCGGCGUGCCUAAUACAUGCAAGUCGAGCGAACGGACGAGAAGCUUGCUUUUCUGAUGUUAGCGGCGGACGGGUGAGUAACACGUGGAUAACCUACCUAUAAGACUGGGAUAACUUCGGGAAACCGGAGCUAAUACCGGAUAAUAUUUUGAACCGCAUGGUUCAAAAGUGAAAGACGGUCUUGCUGUCACUUAUAGAUGGAUCCGCGCUGCAUUAGCUAGUUGGUAAGGUAACGGCUUACAAAGGCAACGAUGCAUAGCCGACCUGUGAGGAUGAACGGCCACACUGGAACUGGAACACGGUCCAGACUCCUACGAGAGGCAGCAGUAGGGAAUCUUAAGCAAUGGACGAAAGCCUGACGUAGCAACACCGCGUGAGUGAUGAAGAUCUUCGGAUCGUAAAACUCUGUUAUUAGGGAAGAACAUAUGUGUAAGUAACUGUGCACAUCUUGACGGUACCUAAUCAGAAAGCCACGGUUAACUACGUG